CUCACUACGCUGGGACAAGUGUGUCCAUUAAUUUUGAAAAAGGGGAGACUUACAAGAAGGUGUUUGGCCCUGUAUUUGUCUAUCUCAACUCUGCUUCCAGAAAUAACAAUAUAGACACACUCUGGUCAGAUGCUGUUCGACAGUUCAAUGAGGAAGUCAGAAGCUGGCCCUAUGAUUUCCCUCGAUCUCCAGAUUUCAUUCUACCCAAUCAACGAGGAACAGUAAAUGGGCGAUUGCAAGUCCGAGAUUGGUUCAAGAAGGGAUGGGGAAACUUCAAUGCUAAGU